GACGAACGCUGGCGGCGUGCUUAACACAUGCAAGUCGAACGGAAAGGCCCUGCUUGCAGGGUACUCGAGUGGCGAACGGGUGAGUAACACGUGGGUGAUCUGCCCUGCACUUCGGGAUAAGCCUGGGAAACUGGGUCUAAUACCGGAUAGGAGCCAUUUUUAGUGUGAUGGUUGGAAAGUUUUUUCGGUGUAGGAUGAGCUCGCGGCCUAUCAGCUUGUUGGUGGGGUAAUGGUCUACCAAGGCGGCGACGGGUAGCCGGCCUGAGAGGGUGGACGGCCACAUUGGGACUGAGAUACGGCCCAGACUCCUACGGGAGGCAGCAGUGGGGAAUAUUGCACAAUGGGCGCAAGCCUGAUGCAGCGACGCCGCGUGGGGGAUGACGGCCUUCGGGUUGUAAACUCCUUUCGCUAGGGACGAAGCUUUUUGUGACGGUACCUAGAUAAGAAGCACCGGCUAACUACGUG
rnacentral:rRNA from 1 species